rnacentral:rRNA from 1 species
GCUUACUGCCAUACCACCCUGAAUAGUCCUGAACUUGUCCGAUCUUGGAAGCUAAGCAGGGUCAGGCCUGGUUAGUACUCAGAUGGGUGACUGGCUGGGAAUACCAGGUGCUGUAUAUG